rnacentral:ncRNA from 1 species
AAAAAGUUUGAUUCUUGCUUGAAUUUUUGCUUUGAGACCUGGAAAAUAUAUGCAAGUGAGGGCAUAAAGAUAAAUGUGGGAUUUAAUAUCUAUUUUAUAUAGUAGUUAAAGCAGUUAGUAUUAAGGGGCAGUAUAUAAGCUUUAUGUAUUAGUGAAAACUAGAUUAAGCAAGGUGUUUUGAAGAUCCGGUUAAAAUUUGUGCCAGCAGCCGCGGUUAUACUAAAGGGUCAAGUUAAAAUGUGUUAGAGAUAAUAGUUAAGAUGGGGAUUAGUAGGGUUUAGAGUUAUUUUAUCAAAAGGUGAAAUUUAUGGGCUAUAGCAUAACUUUAAGAUUAAGCUAAUUUAUUUUGAAGCUAAAAAUAUCUGGGUAUGGACUAGGAUUAGAUACCCUAUUACACCAGAGGAUAAUAGGAAAAAGCUAGAGUAGUAAGAGUAAAUGAGCUCGAAAUUCAAAGAAUUUGGCGGUAUUUUAGUCUAGUUGGAGGAACCUGUUUUAUAAACGAUACACCACGUAAAAUUUUUCUUAUUCUUGUAAAGUUAGUAUACCUUCAUUAUUAGAUAAUAUUGAGAGAUAUUGUUGGAAUCAAAGUUUUUGAGUAUAUUAGAUCACGGUGCUGCCUAUGAAUAAGUAUAAAUGGGUUACAAUAAAAAUUUAUUUAGACGGAGCUAGGAGUUAAAUUUCUAGUGAAGGGGGAUUCAAUUGUAAUCUAGAAUUUAGUAAGGCUGGAUGGUAAUAGCUCUAGAAUGUGUACAUAUUGCCCGUCGCUUUCAUCAGUGUAGAUGAGAUAAGUCGUAACAUAGUAGGGGUACUGGAAGGUGUCCCUAGAAGAUA